AACACCAGUGUUGGACCUCACUGGUGCUCUGGUGUCUGAAUGGGAGCAAAUCCCUGCAGCAGGUCCAACAUCUGCUGGAAAGCCUGAAACCAGAAGAGUGGAGGCUGAUGGAGCAGCAGGUUAAUGAACACGGUGUCACCAUCACAUGUUACACUGUCACGUAUGGUCAGCCGUCCACAUACUUUUGGGCAUGUGAUGUGUCUGCAUAAACCAGGUCAAAGGAAACCUUCAGUCUGAGAGUUGCUGAAACUGAGCAGCCAGGGCUAAAUGAGAACAGAAAAUAUUUGAUCGCAGAAAAAUCACAGAAUAAAUUUAUUUCUCUAUAAUUAUUAUUAUUGGCAGAAAGCAUCAAAUAUGAGCACGUUGGUGCUAUACAGUGUAGUGCAGAGCUGCCUUUAUCGUGUCAGGCCGUACUACAGGCUUCAGUGCAGCUCCCAACCUUCAAUAAAUGAGCACAAACCAGUUGAGACACCGUGAGCCUGGAGUCAGUAAUAAUAACUUCUUACUCAUCAAGUUAUUUGCUGCUAACAUCCUCAUCACUAAUAACUGACAGAAGUGGUGGACAAAACUACACAAAUUAGACCUAAAAUGAUCCUUUAAUGUAAUUAUAUUACAUUAAAAUACAUCUAACUUCUCUUAAGUCCCUCAAACACUGCAGGAGAACGUAUGUUGGCUGACAGGGCGACACGUAUUUCUUUUUAAAUGAUAUUGUGCACUGAGGUCUGAAUGAAAUCCUCAUCAGUGUUCAGACAGACUUUGCAGAUUUAAAGUGACCUCAGGAGGUUGAAGACAAAGACUGUUGUGUUUCCGUGUCCGCUUUGUGUUCAAAUCACAAGAGUCAACAUUUAUACUGAAUACAAGGAAGGUCAGGGUUAUUUUAAUAUUUAAGAUGAAAUAAAUACAUGACAAAAAUAAAUAAAUGAAUAAAUAGAGAGAAACGUACACAUUAAUAUUAGUUAUGCAUACAUAUGAACAUCUCUCGGGUUUAUCACGCUGUAAAAAUUAUAUUUUUUAAAAGUAUAACUCAUUGUUUGUCAUUCUGUGGAGGUGUUUCUGUCUGCGAUCUGAUUGGCUGCUGCUGCUUCUGGAAAAUCUUCUGCCUCACUGUUUCCACAGGAUGUGGUCGCUCGAUGAAGACGAGCUGCACAAAGACGCCUGUGUCACAGACGAAGGCGGCGUUGGUUUCUGCCUCAAAGCCUGCUGGGACAGGAUGUGUGUGCGUGUGGGCGGGGAAAUCGAGGUCAGGCGGUGCUGAGGUGAAGACGCAUCAUCAGCUUCACCGCCGACAGGAAGUCAGCAGCCGAAUGUGCAUGAGGUUCAAAAGGAAGAAACGCGGCUGCAGCAGCAUGAAGCUUUGAGGUCAGAAUCUGACAAACAUCCGUCAGCAGACACAGAAGAAGAAAAACACGACCCCAGAAUAUUUCCAACACGUGGUGGAAAGAAACCUGCAGCUGAAAGGGUUUCAAAACUUUCAGGAACUUUGUACCUGUAAGAAAAUAAUAAUACGUACAAAACAUAUGAAUAGAUUUUAAAAUAUAUAUGUUAUAUAUGUGUUUAUACAGCAGCCUACACCUAUGGCUGCAGGAAGAGUUAUAGUUGUUAACAAAUACAUUAAUAAACACUUGUAUCUGCUUACAGCUACGUAGUCUGUGAGAAACCAUUUAUUACAUGAUUAUACACUGAUUAUAAAUGAUAAAUAAGGGGACUUUAAGUAAAAUGUUCCCAAAUAUAUAGACAUAAGAAAGCUUACAUACUUUAAUUUCAAACAUCUACAGUAUAAGCAUCAGGACUGUCCUCAUACUUUUGGCCAUAUACUGUGUAUUUAAUGACAACAGAGGAACAAAUAAACAAUAAAUAAAAUUACUGCAGUUCAUCAGAAUGGGGAGUUUUUUAUUAUAUAUUUAACAUAAGAGAUUUGACACUUUAUUUUCAUGUGAUAUUUAGAUUUGGACUGUCUGCAUGUGUUCAGUCUUACACUGUUAAUCAUCACACAGUGUUAAUAAAAACAUGGAGUUUCAAUAAAGACCUCACGUAUAUUUGUACAGUAUAUUUA